GUUGUGACGUGAACCACAUCGCCUGGGAGAGCCUCCCUCGAAACAAAAAUAAUCAGAUUGCAGCCACUUUGUUUCGGGUGACCCGGUGUUCUUCGUUUUAAUGGCAUGUGCAAAGUCGAACAGGACCAAAGCACUCUGCGAGGUGCCAAAGGUGGCGGGCGUGCCGCGCUGAAAGAAAGAGGGUGCUGAAAGGCUUGCACCAAAAAAGGCGCGAAGACCAGCGGCGGCGCCGCCAGCUGUCACCGUCGCUGGUCCUUCAUCUGUCCAGCAGCGGCGAUGACGAGCCGAUGCCUGCCUUGGUGGAGAUGGCAGUGCCGCCGCCAGCUCCAACGUCGCCGCCAGCUCCAGCGCCGCCACCAUCACCGCCUUUACCGCCACCAUCGCCA